rnacentral:rRNA from 1 species
AAUGAACGCUGGCGGCGCGCCUAAUACAUGCAAGUCGAGCGAGAAGACGUAGCAAUACGUUUGUAAAGCGGCGAACGGGUGAGGAAUACAUGGGUAACUUACCCUCGAGUGGGGAAUAACUAGCCGAAAGGUUAGCUAAUACCGCGUACGCUCCUUGGACUUCGGUUCAGGGAGGAAAGCGAUACCGUGGGUAUCGCGCUCUUGGUUGGGCUCAUGUCCUAUCAGCUUGUUGGUGAGGAACGGCUCACCAAGGCUUCGACGGGUAGCUGGUCUGAGAGGACGAUCAGCCACACUGGCACUGCGACACGGGCCAGACUCCUACGGGAGGCAGCAGUGGGGAAUCUUGCGCAAUGGGCGAAAGCCUGACGCAGCGACGCCGCGUGAGGGAUGACGGCCU